AACGAACGCUGGCGGCAUGCCUAACACAUGCAAGUCGAACGAGACCUUCGGGUCUAGUGGCGCACGGGUGCGUAACGCGUGGGAACCUGCCCUUAGGUUCGGAAUAACUCCCCGAAAGGGGUGCUAAUACCGGAUAAUGUCUUCGGACCAAAGAUUUAUCGCCUUUGGAUGGGCCCGCGUUGUAUUAGCUAGUUGGUAUGGUAAAAGCCUACCAAGGCGACGAUCCAUAGCUGUCUGAGAGGAUGAUCAGCCACACUGGGACUGAGACACGGCCCAGACUCCUACGGGAGGCAGCAGUGGGGAAUAUUGGACAAUGGGCGAAAGACUGAUCCAGCAAUGCCGCGUGAGUGAUGAAGGCCUUAGGGUUGUAAAGCUCUUUUACCCGGGAUGAUAAUGACAGUACCGGGAGAAUAAGCACCGGCUAACUCCGUG
rnacentral:rRNA from 1 species